rnacentral:misc_RNA from 1 species
UUUUAAACCCAAAACCACCAAAAAUUUUCCUACAUGUUAUUCAAACUUCACCUCUUUGCCAACAAACUUCAUUAUUUCUCAAACAAACUUUACGCUGCUAACAUGAAACUAUUUCGUUAGCUCAAAACCAUCAAAUCCCUAAUUUUUCACUCCCUAGGCCACCACAAGCAAAUGUUAGCAGAGUACUCAAUCCUAGAACAAAAGACAUCACCAAAUGGAUUGGUGAUGAUAAUGAAUACAACAAUUUAAUCAGAUAAAAUGAAAGUUCAUAUUAACAUAGAUAGCUUACUUGAUAGCGCCAUAACCAAUGGCCUCAGCAGUC